AGCGAACGCUGGCGGCAGGCUUAACACAUGCAAGUCGAGCGGAUGUAGCAAUACAUCAGCGGCAGACGGGAGAGUAACACGUGGGAACGCGCCCUUCGGUUCGGAAUAACUCAGGGAAACUUGAGCUAAUACCGGAUACGCCCUAACGGGGAAAGAUUUAUCGCAGAAGGAACGGCCCGCGUCCGAUUAGCUAGUUGGUGAGGUAAUGGCGCACCAAGGCGACGAUCGGUAGCUGGUCUGAGAGGGUGGCCAGCCUCACGGGGACUGGGACACGGACCAGACUCCUACGGGAGGGAGCAGUGGGGAAUAUUGGACAAUGGGCGCAAGCCUGAUCCAGCCAUGCCGCGUGGAUGAUGAAGGCCUUAGGGUUGUAAAGUCCUUUUAACGGGGAAGAUAAUGACGGUACCCGUAGAAUAAGCCCCGGCUAACUUCGUGCCAGCCGCCGCCGUAA
rnacentral:rRNA from 1 species